CCCUUAGAUGUUCUGGGCCGCACGCGCGCUACACUGAUGAAUUCAACGAGCACUAGCCUGUGCAGAAAUGUUCGGGUAAUCUUGUGAAAUUUCAUCGUGAUGGGGAUUGAUUAUUGCAAUUAUUAAUCAUAAACGAGGAAUGCCUAGUAAGCGUGAGUCAUCAGCUCACGUUGAUUACGUCCCUGCCCUUUGUACACACCGCCCGUCGCUCCUACCGAUUGAAUGUGCUGGUGAAAAGUUCGGAUUGGGAAUAGGAGACGGCAACGUAUCCUGUUUCUGAGAAAAUCUUUAAACCCUCCCAUUUAGAGGAAGGAGAAGUCGUAACA
rnacentral:rRNA from 1 species